rnacentral:rRNA from 1 species
GACAGAGGGUGCAAACGUUGUUCGGAAUUACUGGGCGUAAAGCGCGUGUAGGCGGCCCUGCAAGUCGGAUGUGAAAUCCCACGGCUCAACCGUGGAAGUGCAUUCGAAACUGCAGGGCUAGAGUCCUGGAGAGGAAGGUGGAAUGCUUGGUGUAGAGGUGAAAUUCGUAGAUAUCAAGCGGAACACCGGCGGCGAAGGCGGCCUUCUGGACAGUGACUGACGCUGAGACGCGAAAGCGUGGGGAGCAAACAGG